GGGUUUCUGCUCUUCUCGCGCGUGGCCUUUUUUCCACUGGCCUAUAACUUCUCCGAGGGGGCUGGCUCUGUCGAGGCCCUGGUCUCGUUAUCUGGCGCCCACCUGGUACUCCAGGCUUUCGGGAAAUCUCGCGCCGCCGCGGUCGCUGCGGUUCCCGC
rnacentral:misc_RNA from 1 species